UACCAAAUUACAGUAAGAUUCGGAAAAAGGCCCCAAAAUUUUAUUUUGCUUUGGGUUUCCAAUAACGUUGAGCCGGCCCUGUGUCUAUUUCACCAUAUUGCUCUAUUAGAGGUAUUUUAUACAACACCAGAGAAGCCACACAUGAAGCAAAACACAACGCUAAUCCGGCUGAUUAGUUCAGUGCUGGAUGACACGGCUAUGGUUAGGGUUUCAUCACACUGAUUUCAUUACUAGCAUCUUAUGCAAUCGAAAUUGCCUAUGUAUCUUUCUUAUUUAUGUUUACAAUGAAUCAAUUUAUUGGAAAGGAGAAUGAAACCCUAGCCCUAGCCUAGGGUUUUAGUCCAGUAGAUCCCAAUUACAUUUUAAUGGAAGAUUGAUUGCCUUUUUUCAGUAAUGUGUGUUGUUUCUUCUGAUCUUAAGUAAUAUAUGCUUUGAUGGUGUCGUAUGUGCCAUUGAUUCAUCUAUCGCCGUUUUCGCCUCCAAGUUGGUGGUCUAUAAAAUAUCCCUCUCUUUUAAAAAAAGUAUAUUUGUUUCAUUCAGUUGAUCGCCUAUAUACACUGUUCUAGCGAGUUUUUGGCCUGUCUCCUACCCGAAAAUGAUGGUGUGUUGCUACUUGAUAUGGCAACUCCGGUUGCAUCCAUGACACAACUGAGCGGGCUAUUUUUGACGACGAUGAGGAAGCGUGCUUCUGACCUAUUUUCCCCUUUUCAACGACCAUCAUGAUCUUUUUAAAUCUGAGUCAAUUGGUGUUGGUGAUUUCGUUUUGGUCACUAAAGUUUAAGGCAAAAUAUUGUUCCAUUCUCAAUUAUGCUUAAUGUUCCACUUUUAAACAUCUGUUUUUGGUUUUUUAAUUUUGGUUUUGUUAUCAUGGUCAUGGUGAUACUUGAGACUUUAAAAGUUGACUUUUUUUAAUCAAGUUAUGGUGUUAACUGCCGAGACUAACAGUACCUAACAGCUGUGUAUCAGCUGCGUAUCAGACAAAGAUCAGCGUAUAGGCUGAAAGAAUGACAACAUAAACGGCCUUGCCACCUCUUUGUCAACCUGUUUGAAUAGGUGUAUAAGCCUAGGGAUGAGCUCGGUUUCAACUGGUACCGAAAAUCCCAAAAAUUGGGUAUCAGUACCCGGUGUACCGAAGUGUACCGAAAAUACCCAGUUCGGUGUAGUUCAGUACUGGUAUUGACCGGUAUUUGUAGGUAAAAACCGGUAUCGAAAACGCUAAAUGUCGGUACCAAUAAUAUCUUGGUUCAGUAAAUUCGGUACAGGUACAAGUACCUAUACCGGUACCCGGUAUCAUUUGCUCAUCUCUAGUUAUGUUUUGUCGACCCGUUCGAAUAGGUGUAUAAGCUAUAACAAAUAUUUUGUAAAAGAAACAGUUUUGACAUUUUAAGUGUUGGUUAAAGAAACGACUUUGACUUUUUAAAGUCAACUUUGAAGCUACAGAUUUCAUUAUGUUAUUGAACCUUGAAGUGUAUAAACAUAACAGCAGCAUAUUAUAUGCAAUGAUAAGUUUUGUUGACCCGUUUGAAUAGGCAAUUUCGAUUAAAAUAUUUUGUUUUCCCUCUUACUCAUUAUCAAAUUGCCAUACUCGAAGGGAAACCAAGCACGGCCAGAGGAUCGCAACUUCAACUCCUUCAAUUGAAACUUCGAUUGAAAAAAGAAUAUAACUCUGGUGAUUUAGGUCAGUAAUUAGUAAAAAUUAAAAAAUUAUGUUCAAAUGGUCAACAAUGUGUGAUUGUGGGUAUAUGUGCAACAAUCGAGAUGUAUUUCUGUGAUUUUUACCAGUUUGAAUUGAAACUUCGUUGUUGUUUUGUUUAUCAGUGUGUGCAUGUGCAAUGAUCAAGUUAGUUGAUCAUAAAUGCAUUUUGUUUGUUCAUGAAUUAUUCACUGAAUUUUAGAUGGCCGACAAAAUAUGUGAAUCGGGUCGUAUUACGUGUCAGAUCAUGAUCAUGCUCUGUUAAUGUUUGAAUGUAAACGGGUUCAAGUCAGAAUGGGUCAAUUUAAAAAAGGCAUCAUUUUGCCAUUUGGUCAAAUUGGAGCUCAGACUUUCACAUUCGGUGAGCUUGCAGCUAUAACUCGUAUUUUUAGCCCUGGUUGUUUUUUAGGGGAGGGUGGGUUUGGAUCAAUGUAUAGAGGGCAAAUUCAGGGAAGUGGUCUGAUACGUAUUGGAACUUGGAAGAUAAACAUUAAAAAUAAUGGUGAUUAUAUGUAUAAAUACUCAUUUUUUUAAGUCAGUUGUUUUUUUUUGUCUGGUUAUUUUCAUUCUGUAACUGUUACGACUGGCGGGGUUGGGAAUUCUGUGAAGGUGAGUGUAGAGUUGGUGGUUGAGGCUGUGAAUCUCGAGUCUGCUAGCCAGCCAUUUGAGGUGGUGUACCACUCUCGUGCAAGCACGCCUGAGUUCUGAGUGAAAGCGUCAACUGUAAAUGCAGCAAUGCGGAUUCAGUGGUCUCCAGAAAUAAGGCUCAAUAUGGCUUUAGAUAAAAAGGAUUAGUCGCGAAUUAGCUGGUUCAUGGGCACGAUUUCUUUGUUUGAUGUAAAAGAUCAGUUUCGUUGGCUGAAUUCACCUUGGAGGCUUCGUGAGGGACACUCUUUAUAGAGUACGCUUUAUGAGUGAGAUAUUAAUGAAUACGUAUUUAUAAGUAGCGUGGGAUGAACCCGAUUUGCUACAAAACGUGAAACGGGUCAGGGGCCGUGGUUAGUUGAGUUGGUGUCGUGACCUGAUGCAAAUUAAGAAAGAAAUUAACACCUAUAGCUGUAAAUGAAGGUUCCUUUUCACCUGUUUUACGGGCAAUGUUAUGGUUGGAGAGGCUAAAAGAAGCAGAGUAACAAUUAUAGAGCUGCUACAACAAAGCCUAGAACAACAUGCUGCAAGUGUACUGUUUUCUUCAACUAUAACCAAAAAAAGGACCGUCAUAUAAGAUAUCGGAUUUACUCCGUAUCUGCCAACAAUUUAAAAAUGGAUGCAAUGUUUUUUUACACCCUUAACCUACGUACAAGCUGUCUCAUUUAAAUCUAUUUCUUAGUAAUAUGUCAACCCACAUCUUUUGUUUUGUACAUAAUCAUAUCGCUCUACGGACUACAUGUUAAUAGCUAAUUCUGCAGUAUAGCAGGUUGUUUUUAGUAUUGUACUUCACUGGUAAGACUACAUAUUGCACACAUACAUGUAAAGUAUGCCGCUGCAUCAUGCGGGCAGACCUGCUAGUUCAUAUUUAUUCUCAUGAGUA